rnacentral:lncRNA from 1 species
GCUUUUUAAAAGUGAAAAAACCCCAUCAGCUUCAUUUCUCUUCUCCCCAGCCACAAGCAAAAGGCAUUUUUCUUGCUUAUUUCUUCAGUUUCUCUCAAAAUUUCAACUAUCCCCCUUAAAAUUUUGGUAAAAUCUCAACGAAGACCACCUAUUGAACUUAUUUCCUCCAUCAAUCUCUUAAAUUUCAGUUAGGGUUUCAUGGGUUAUAGUGAGGGAAAGCUAUGACCAGUGAGACGAAGCUUUCAAUAAGGUAAAAGAAUAGCUUCCUACAUCUCUAUUAGAUUGAUAUUUAUUGAGAAAUAUUAUGAGCUUGAAAAGAAUUUAUAUUCAUUUUUGAAUGAAUUUUAUUGUAUGAAAAUUAGGAAAUGAUGAUUUAAGGAUUUCCAAGUUUGAUUGGUGUUCAUGUAAGCAUGAUUAAGUGUUGUAGAGCAUCCAUUAAGGUAGGUUAGUAAGCUCAGGUAACUAUGAAUAAAUUAUUUAAUUAUGAUUUUAAUUAUGUUAAUAAUCAUGUGGAAGUCCAUGGCACAAUAUGUAACACCUCAAAAAUUUCAGCAUCGGAUUUUGUGUGAAUCGAGAUAAAUUCGGUAAAAGAAAUAAAUUUAUAAUAAAUUAAUUUUGAAAAUUUUUGGAUGAAUUGUUAAAAUAUAAUUUUGUUAGUAUUUCUUAUGUGUCAUGGACAUAUUUGGAAUUCUAUAUAAUUCUGAGAUUAAAAUAAAUUCCGAUUUUAUUUUAGAGAUUAAAUUGAAAUUUCAAUAUUCAGAGGACUAAACUUGCAAUUAACUUUUCUUUCAUUUGUUUUAGAAUGUUGUGGCGCGUGUGUUGUAUUAUUAUUAUUAUUGGUGGUGUUGUUAUGUUUAAAUAGAUUUUGGAUUUUCUAUUAAUAUAAUGUGGUAUUAUAUUUCUAGAAUAAUUAAAAGUAGAACUAUUAAAAGCCCUUAAAUUUAUCAAAUUUCCCUUUUAUUGUUUUUCAUAUAUGCUUUUUCUAUAAAUGAUUUUAUGAAAUUAGGAUACCUUGAAAAUAGUAUCAUUUCUAAUAAUUUAAUGUUAUUUCACCUUUUUUAUCUUGAAAAAAAAUUAAAUUCAACAGAAAUUUAAAAUAAAAAUACUAAAAUAACAUUAAAUUAUUGAAAAUAGAUAUCUUAUGCUUUCCCUUGCUGCAAGCCACUAUUCUCCCAAAUUUCCGCCUUCAAUUGCCUUCAAUAUUCUUUUCUUCUCUUUCUGGCUUCCAAUUGCCUUACUUGAGCCGUCUGAGUUACCACCGUUUGCAAUCCAAUUAGUGCUGCCAAUUUUUGCUGCGUUGCCGCUCCAAAACCUUGCUACCUGCCGCCGACCUUACCCAAUACAACUGCUGCCAUCAAUUGUUAUGAUGUCGCCCAAGCUGUUGUUAUCAUGACCACUCUCUUGUUUGCUCCGUUUGCCAUAACAAAAAAAUGAAAAAGCAAUAAGGUGGUAUACUUUUUUCGGAUUGCUACAUCAUUGUCAAUCGAUUUGUUGCAUCCGUAUCAAAAUAAUUGCCGCAGUCUUGUUUCCAAUCUUAGCCGCUGUUUUGAUCUCCAAAUUCCCACUAAUUUUCGACCAAAAUUACCAUUAAAUUGCUGUUGCUUGGUACUGUCAUUAGCUUCUAUUACUUUAAUUGAUUUAAUUUAUUUCUGCCCACUAUUUGCUUUAACGUCAAGUUUCAUUGUUUUGGUUUUAGUAUUUUUAAGUAAUAAUUUUGCAUUAUUGGUAAUGGUUUUUAAAGGACGUUUUACUUCUCUUGUUGUGAUAUAGAUGUUCUUUUAUUUUAAUUCUCAUGAUUAAUGCUUUGAAUGAUAUUGAUUCAUAUUGUUCUAAAUUUUGAAUAACUAAGGUUAAUUUAUUUAGAUUAAGGUCAUGAUAUUUGUUUAUUUAGAUUUAAAUAAAUUUUAGGAUGGCAUAUUAUAUUAGAUUAAUUAUUAUAUGUAUUAAGAUUAAGUUGAAUUUGGUUUAGGUUAAGUAGAAGUUGAGUUGUAUCGGUACACUAGCUCCUUUGUAUCUGUAGAAGUUUCUCAAUCUUUGUAAAAAUGAUUUUAAUAGGAUAUUUUCCAAAGUGUUUUGAACAUUUAAACUCGUGAAAUAUAUUUGAAGACAUGUUGAACCAUUUUUUUUUAUGAGUUUGAGAGUACUUGAAAUUAAUUUUGUAGGAUUUUAUCAUUAAUCACAAAAUUAUAAUUCAACUUGGUUAUAUCAAAACAUUUAAAAAUCAGGGCUAACAUAAAAGUUAAAUUAACUUCUUUAAAUUAUUUUUUAAUUGAAUGUAAUUAAAUAAUAGAGUUCAAAGUGAGGAAUGAAAUUAAUUAGUCAUCAUUAUACUGAAUAAGAUAAUUAAAUUUAUUUACUCAUAAAUUCUAAUACGGUAAUGUUGUCAUGACUUUGAUGGAAUUAAAAUUAGAAUUUGAUUGAGCAAAUAAUUUAAUUGAAUUAAUUAAUUAAUAUUUUGGAAAUAAAAAAUUAGUUAUUGGGUUGGAUAAUUAAAUGAAAUUAAUAUAAUUUAAUUUAAAAUUAAGUUGCACGUAUAAUUGUACCCAAUACAUGAAAGGCUUAGAGAGCCCAAUCAAUGGGCAAGUUGGCAACCAUUACGGGAGAGGCUCUUUAUGUUUGUUGCCCACCUUGCUAGAGUUUUUCCAAAACUCCAAUUUUCUAUUAAAUAAUAUUUUCUCCCUCUUCCUAUUUUAGUAUACCUCUUAUAAUUUUUUCCUAUAUGUAAGGAACAGGGGGCUGUAACACCCUUAUACACGACCUGAUUGCCAAGUCUGAGCUAUAGGGUACUACAUUCAUUGUGGGAGCAAUUACAAUCAAUAAAAUUCAAUUUCAACAUCAUUAUACAUUUAAAUCUAAAUAGUCCAUGCAUGUUAUACGAUAUGUUAUCAGUUUCGAGGCUUAUACGAGCUUACAAAAGCUCUUUUUUCUAACACGUGAUCAAAAUUGGACCAAAUUGUAAAGAAUACAAAAUUUUGAGUCGACGUCGCAACUUUAGGGUUUCUUCAUUACCGCAUGACUGUUUGAUUAGGGUUUGUUAUGACCUCAAAGUAACGAUGUUGUUGUGAGAACCCUACUCUAUUCCUAGUCACAAGGGUAGGGGUUUGUUGUUGCGAUGUUAUAACUUGUUACUUUCAAAUUCAACUUGUUACAAGUUAAAAAGACCUAAAAUCACUUAUAUACAUUCGCAUGCAAUCAAUUCAUAAACCAACCAAACGAUUUCAAGUGAAAAUAUACCAAAUAGUAAUCUUCAAAAAAUCAACUAUCCAAUUUAACUUCAACUAUUCAUACUUCAAAAUCAACCAAAGUACGUUCAAAUGCAUAACCAUUAAUCUUAAAACUCAAAACCAACUAUAUGAACACAUCUAAACACCAAUUCAAAACAUUAGCAUAUAAUCAUAUUAUAUACAACUUAAACAUUUCAAAAUUUUAGCCAAAAGUCCCUAGGCACAUUCUACAAAAACAAAAUAAACGAACUAUACAAACUUUGUUGAAUCGAAAUUGGUGAUCUGGAUGCUAACUUCAAUUCUAGGGGCCACGAAGAAUACUUGAACCUAUGCAUGGAAAAAAAAAUCCGUAUGCUAAGGAAUAGGCUCAGUGGUACAUUUCCAAUUCAAGAUAUAUGCAACAUAAGGUUUAACAUUAUAUUUCAAGCUAAAACAUGCAACUUGUACAUAAUACCUAGCCAAUUCAUUUGCAUACUAUUAACCUUUCUAUCAUCCAUCAAAAUACACAAGAUGUAACACUCGAUUUUCAAUGGUGUAGGAAACGACGAUUUUGGAACCCCAUUUCUAUAAUUCGAGUUCAUAAAUAAUAAAAAUUAAUAUCUACAAGGUUCAUAUAGAUAUAUAUUAAAUUUUGUUCCAAUAUUUUUUCCUAAUUGAUAAUUAAUUAAAGUACAAUGACUAAACUGUAAAAGUUUAUCGCUAUAGGUUUUUAAAUAGCCAAAUGACCAUAUGAAUAAUUAGACCAUUUUAAAUGGUCAAUCGGUGGUGGAUGUUGAUAAAACCCAAUAAAUUUUGUUAAUUUAGCUUAAGUUUUGAUUAAAUAAGGUUUAAUUAAACUAUAUAAGACAAAUUAAAAAGAAACAAAGGCCAUAUUUUUCUUCUAUCCAUCUACUUCACCGAAACAAAAGAGAAAGAAUAGGGUUUAAAGCUUCAAAACAUUUGGUCCCUCAAAUUGGUAAGUUAUUAAGUCUUUUCAUGUAAUCUUUAUGAUUUUAAGGUCAUGAGAGCUUGAUUUAGCUAGCCUAUAUAUCAAUUUGUAAAACUGUUAAAGUUUUUGAAAGUUUUCAUUAUCAAUUUAUUGAAGAAAUUGGUGUUAAGUUGAUAAAUUUUAAGCUUAAAUGUAAAAAAAAAGAGACUAGAUUGUAAAGUUUAAUUUUUAGUUUUAUUAAAAAGGAUCAAAGUGUAUAAAUUGUGAAAAUAAUGUGAAAUUUCUUUAAUAAUAGAUAGUAGAGGAUCUUAUAAGGAUGUAAUUGAGAUCAGUUUUGAAACCGAAGUUUAAAUUUGAAAGAUAUUGUUAUUUAGGUUUCAAGUACUAAAUUGAAUAAAAUUAAAAAAUUUAGGAGAAUUAAAAAAAUGGAAUUAAACUGGUUCAUGCAUAUAAUGGGAUGCUAUAAAAAUGUUUGGUAUUGAUAAAUUGAAUUAAAUAAUUGUAUAAAUUGAAAAUUGAACCAAACUGAGAAUAAUGGGGAAAUGACAAAAUUGUAGAAUAGUCCUGAAAGAUAGAAUUGCUUAUAGUUUUGCCAGGUGAGUUCAUAUGGUAUGAUUGUAUUUUAAAUUGUUAUGUAUUUGAAUUAUAAAUAUGUGUGUGUUUGGUUGUAAUUUGAAUUGUUUGUGAAUUGGUACAAAAUGUGAGAUAUGAACUAAAUUGUAAAGAAAUGGAUAUAUGUGUUAAAGAUGCCCGAGUGAACUUAACAAAGAUUAGGAUAAAAUUGACAUGUACAUAGGGCUAUAUGCUCGCUUGUACAGGAAAUAUGAUUGUACAGAGAUCAUUACUGUGUAUAUCAAGAUCCAACAUUUGUUAUGGAUCACUGAAUAUUAUAUGUCUCUAUGGAGACCCUAGUGUGGUGGAGGAUUGUAUUAUUAUACGAUUAUUCAUAUGAUUGCCUACGGGCUUUACAAUUUGGUGCUCUGGUGUGGUGAAGUUACUACUCGGACGAGCAAUCUGGUGUGGUAUGGUUACCCUGUAUCCAAAUCUGUUCACUAGAGUUCAUUGGGCUUAAUUGUAACAUCUCAAACCCGGCCUAGACGUUAUGGCCAAAUUUAGAGAUGUUACUGUAAUCUCAUUCGAAAACCAUAAUUCAUUGUCGUAAGUUCUAAUUACACAAAAAUCCAGUUUAUUUUAAAGCAUAUAUUACUUAACCGAUUUAAUGAAAACGAUGU